rnacentral:rRNA from 1 species
AUUGAACGCUGGCGGCAUGCUUUACACAUGCAAGUCGAACGGUAACAGGGUGCUUGCAACGCUGACGAGUGGCGAACGGGUGAGUAAUGCGUCGGAACGUGCCGAGUAGUGGGGGAUAACGCAGCGAAAGUUGUGCUAAUACCGCAUACGUACUGAGGUAGAAAGUGGGGGACCGUCGGGCCUCACGCUAUUCGAGCCGCCGACGUCUGAUUAGCUAGUAGGUGAGGUAAAGGCUUACCUAGGCGACGAUCAGUAGCGGGUCUGAGAGGAUGAUCCGCCACACUGAGACGUAGACACGGCCCAGACUCCUACGGGAGGCAGCAGUGGGGAAUUUUGGACAAUGGGCGAAAGCCUGAUCCAGCCAUGCCGCGUGUCUGAAGAAGGCCUUCGGGUUGUAAAGGACUUUUGUCGGGGAGGAAAUCCCCAGCGCUAAUACCGCUGGGGGAUGACAGUACCUGAAGAAUAAGCACCGGCUAACUACGUGCCAGCCGCCGCUGUAAGAC